ACUGAUAGUGAACUGUGUUUGGAGUGCAAUAUAUGAUUUUCCAUUUAUAAUAUGUUCCAUACUUAAUCCUUUUGGAGCUUUUUAGGUUGUUAGGCAGGAUAAUGGUAUCACAUUGAAUUUAAGGCGUUAAAAAUACACAGUAACUGAUGCUCAUGUUAACAAAUAAAUAAAAAUUUUAAUGAGGAGCCACCAAAUAAAGUAUUUGGAGUAAUGCUCAGAAGUUAUUUAAACAGGUAAUAGUUGGUAGACAUGUUAUUAACCUUGUGAGAAAAUCUGUAGCUUUUUUUUUUUGGUACAGAGCCAUCAUUAAGGUUCCCAAAUCACUUUUUUUCCAAAUACAAUUUCUUAUCAAAAUGCCUGAAAAAAGAUCUGUUGCAGUAUGUGAGUGCUCAGGGGUAAUAAAGAUCAGGUGUAAAGAAUAAAUUAAUAAGACUUAUUUAUGCUUUACUUACAGGGACAUUUGACUAGAACAGAGCUGGAGGCAAAUCCAUGACGGAUAGUGUUCCACUCUGUGUUUUUCUAUCCAGGUAUGAAUUUACUGCACUGGCAGUGUGUUUGGGAUCAUUGUAAGGCUGAAAAAUGAAGCUGUUGCCAAUCAGACCCUUACCAGAUGAUACUGCAUGCUGGAACAAAUCUGACGGUCAGGGCCUAUUAUAUGCCACAGCCUAAAGGCAACUGAGUUGCAGAGGCUGGAGUGACCACUGGCUAUCUACUUACAGGGUGGUGGGUCUCAGAGGACAACUCCUAACUCUGUUGAAGUCGACGUGUGGAGUGCAACUGGCAUUGUGGCAUAGCUUGCUCUGGCCUUGGACUGUGUGUUUUUACUUGAUCUGCCAAUGGGACACUGGGCUGUUUAAUCCUUUACCUUUUUGAUUGUGUUAAUAAAUUAUCUUUUUGAAUUUUAUUGACUGUCAUCUUUUUGCUCACGGCUGAGGAGGUUGGUCAGACCUAGAAUCUUUUUGUGUGUGUUACAGACUGAGACAUGGAUGAAGUUUCAGAAGGCUCCUCACAUGGAACAUCAGUGACUGGCACUGUGACUUUCACAAACGUCUUUCUCACUGGGAAGAACAUCAGGCAUUGACAGACUUUCGGAAGAAGGUUCUUCACUGGGAAGAACAUCAGAAUCAGAAUCUUUUGAAUGCAACCCCGUUCAGUGCAAAUGAAAAGAGCACACCUUUAAGAGGGAAAAAAGUAUACAUGUACAAUAAAUUAAAAAAUAAAUAAAUAAAUAUAGUGUAUACAAAAGUAUAUAAGAAUGAACAAGUGAAAAUGCAAUUGUCGUACAGUGAUUAGUCCUUUAGAAUAUAUUGCACAGUUAAAAGUUUGUAUUUUCACAGUGGUUUAUCCCUGAGUAUAUUUGUUAAUGCAACAGUCCCGGUGUAUGUGCUGUUUCUCAGUCUGUUUGUUUUGGCUUUUAUUGUCGUGUACCGUGUAACGACGUGUCGUGUCGUUACCUGAGGGUAACAAGUGGAAUAGGUGACAGGUGGGGUGGGAUGUAUCCUUCAGGAUGCCGCAGGCUUUCCUGUGGCAGCGGGACCUGUACAGCUCCUCCAGAGAGUGAAGAGCAUAACUGAUGAUUCUCUGUGCUACCUUUUCCUGAGCAGUACAAAACACACUGGGAUGCAAUAUGUCAAUGUGCUUUCAAUGGAGUCGCUGCUGUGCCUUUUAAAUCAUAGCUGUAGUGUUUGUUUUCCAGGUUAGGUCAUCACCCAGGUUCAGGCCCAGGAACUUGAAGGCAGAGUCCCUCUCCACACAGUCCCCAUUUAUGUGUAUGGGCUGAGGGUCAGAUUUGUUCCUUCUGAGGUCAACAAUUAUUUCUUUGUUUUUUGUGGCUGCACCAUGAUGACAGUUUUUCCACUUCGUCCCUGUAUGCAGACUUAUUUCCCGCCGUGAUAAGCCCGAUUACAGUUGUGUCAUCCACAAACUUCACAAUAGUGUUGUACAGGUGGAUGGUGUUGCAGUAUAUAGGGUGUACAGCAGAGGACUUUGCACACAUCCCUGAAGGGGAGCCGGUCUUGAGGCUGAGUGCUGAGGAUAGGCGGGGCCCUACUUGGACUCUCUAUGGGCGGUCACUGAGAAAGUCCUUGAUCCAGAGGCAGAGGUCGUGCAAUUCGGUUACCAGCAUGGCAGGGAUUAUGGUGUUAAAAGCCGAGCUGAAAUAAAAAAAAAAGAAGCCUGACGUCACUGUCCUUUUGUUCUAAAUGAAUUAGGGUUGUCAGGCUGUGGAUAUGGCAUCUUCUGUUGAUCUGUUCUUCAUGUAUGCAAAUUGGUGGGAAUCGAAUGUGGCUGGGAGUCCUCGAAUGAUCUGAGUUCUGACCAGUUUCUCCAGACACUUCAAGAUGACUGGAGUAAGAGCCUCUGGCCGGAAAUCGUUUAGGCACUGGAUGGUAGUUUUCUUUGGAAUGUGGAUGAUGGUAGAGGACUUCUGUCAGGGUGGAACGGUGGCCUGUGUUAAGGACAGGUUGAAUAUUUUAGUAAAGACUCCUGUGAAUGUCAGAUGUGACUUACUGAAAGGAAGUAUGGCCUCUAGAAAUUUAAGGAGGAUUUGGGAACUCUGUCCCUCAUUUUAUUAAUUACAUUCACUGCCCACACUUAAAACAGAAAACACGUAUACAGUGCAGUUUUGUUUAGAGGUUAUGUGAACAUAAUGAAAAAAAAAACCCCUCCAAAUUAUAAUUCUUGUGAGUUUUAAAGUCUUACCAGUUUCAGAAGAGGUUUGGCUUCUUCUUCCUCAAAAUCCUCUAAUUCAAACUCCCAAAGCCUUCAAAAGAAAAUAACAGCAUUUAAACUCCAUUACAAACAGACUUUCAGGUGUGAGGUGGAUGGUCUGAAAAGCUGACAUUAAAGUAUAAAAAACUGCUCUUCCUCAAAUGACCAAUUAAAGCCUACUCCGAAAUCAAGUCAUUUCCCUUGUACUUCUGUUGUUAAUAUGCACAAUAUGACAACAGAAGUUGUCAUGAUCCUGUGUCUUCACCCAGUGUUUUCAGUUUUGGGCUUUCAAAUUCUGUUUGACAUUCUCUGUCUAGAAUAUUUAGGUUAUGUUCUUGACCUUUGUUGCUUUGUAUUUAUUCCCUUAUUUCAGGUAUCAGCCUUCCCCUGUGUUCCCCUUUCCUUGUCAAGUUUCCAUCCCUGUUUGUGAUUUUGUUACUUUGUUUUAUUUUUGCCUCUUGCCUUUUGUAUGUCAUUUUCACUUUAGCUCCCUUUUUCUAGUUAACCUUGAUUUGUUCCUGCCAUGUUUCCCACCUGUUCUCCCUUAGCCUCAUCAUGUGCUAUGUAUAUAUGGGUUGUGUCCCAAUCCAGCGAUCUGUGUAUUUAAGCCCUGUGUUUCUCUGUGUCCGUGUCGCGAUCUACCAUCAUAUAUGCUGUGUGUUCUGUAUGCUCGUGUAAGUUAUUGGAAUUCUUAAUUUUGUUCUGUUUGAGUUCACGUUUGUCUCCGGAGUCUGCACUUUGGGUCCUUUUCCUGCCUGCACACAGCCUUCACAUGACACAUUCCUGUUCUUCCUAUGUCUUGAGUAGGGAUGGAUAUUAAUAAUAAUGAAUAAUAAUAGUAAUUCUUUUUCAAUACUUACAGAGCAGGAAAGAAGAUUUGCAAGUGAGCUAUGUAGAAGCUUUUGUUUUGUGAUUAG